rnacentral:rRNA from 1 species
GACGUAGGGUGCAAGCGUUGUCCGGAUUUAUUGGGCGUAAAGAGCUCGUAGGCGGCUUGUUGCGUCGACUGUGAAAACCCGCGGCUUAACCGCGGGCUUGCAGUUGAUACGGGCAGGCUAGAGUUCGGUAGGGGAGACUGGAAUUCCUGGUGUAGCGGUGAAAUGCGCAGAUAUCAGGAGGAACACCGGUGGCGAAGGCGGGUCUCUGGGCCGAUACUGACGCUGAUGCGCGAAAGCCAGGGAGCGAACGGG